UUUCAUUUGUUGCAUCAAUCAGCAUGCACUUUGUCACUCAGAGAGUAAAAGUCCUGAAUUAGCAGCUAAGAACCAAAAACAGGUUCCAAGAACUUUGGCAGUUUGUACUUCCUGCAGCAUGGAGUGACCACAGCUACGAAAAUGUUCCCACAGUCCAAAAGCAUCUAUGGUGGGGUCAUGGUUUGGGACUGCUUCAGUGCAUACAGACCAGAACAGCUCACCAUCACUGAUGGAAUGAUGGAUUUUGACUGAGAAGCAGGACAUCUGCCUGUGGAUUGAAUCGUGCAGCAGAGACAACAACCCUCAGCUCACAAGGAGAACAUUGAAGAAAUGUUCACGUGAGGAGAUGUGAAGCUCAGAAUGCUUUGUAUUGUAAGUUAGACCAUACAAUAAUUUAACAUUGAUAACCCCAACAAGCAUAUGACCCCCUAUGAGCAAACACUUUGACGACAGUGGGAAAGAAAAACUCCCUUUUAACAGGAAGAAACCUCCGGCAGGAUCAGGGAGGGGCGGGGCCAUUGAUUGGUUGGGGUGCGAGAAGGAAGACAGGAUAAAGACAUGCUGUGGAAGAGAGACAGAGAUUAAUAACAGAUAUGAUUCAAUGUAGAGAGGUCUGUUAACACAUAGUGAGUGAGAAAGGUGACUGGAAAGGAAAAACUCAAUGCAUCAUGGGAAUCCCCCGGCAGCCUACGUCUAUUGCAGCAUAACUAAGGGAGGAUUCAGGGUCACCUGGUCCAGCCCUAACUAUAUGCUUUAGCAAAAAGGAAAGUUUGAAGCCUAAUCUUGAAAGUAGAGAUAGUGUCUGUCUCCUGAAUCCAAACUGGAAGCUGGUUCCACAGAAGAGGGGCCUGAAAACUGAAGGCUCUGCCUCCCAUUCUACUUUUAAAUACUCUAGGAACAACAAGUAGGCCUGCAGAGCGAGAGCGAAGUGCUCUAAUGGGGUGAUAUGGUACUUUACGGUCAUUAGGGAGCGUUCACCCCAUGAUCAGAAGGUUGAGGGUUCAAAUCCACCGAAGGCUACCUGCGGUAUCCCUGAGCAAGGUACCGUUCCUACACAUUGCUUCCUGGGUGCUGGAUUGGCUGCACACUGCUUCACUGAGUGAAUCGGUUAAAUGCAGAGAGUAAUUUCCCUACAGGGAAAAUCCAGUUUUGAGAUCCUUCCCAGACACCUUAACGCCCACUCACAUCUAGGUUUCACAAUGAGGUCACCCGAAACCCUGGCUGAUUGUGACCCACACCCGUUUUCACACCUUGGGUUGUGUGAUUAGGUUGAGGUUUAUUAGGGGGUCCAUUGUCCCUCUUGGCAGAUUACUCCCACAGGGCUUAAAUCUGGGACUCUCCACUACUUGACCCUUAGAACUGAAAAAGCUUGUUGGAUGAGAGGUGAAAUGUCUUAAAGCAACUUAAAGAAGUCCAGACGCUUUUCUUUCCAAGCUCCUUAGACUACGAUAACCUGGAUGACUGAGAACCUUCACAGACAUACAGGGGAAAGUAUACAAAAAAAAAAGAUAAGAUGGGGCCUGAUUGAAUCAGUUAUGAUUAGUAUCAUCAGUAAAUAAAGUAGCAGGUCUGACUGGAUUCUCUUUAAAUGCUUUUAGGGCUUGUUUAGGUUUAGGAAGGUUUAGGUCGUACUACAGAAAGAGAGGAAAAUGUUAAAGGCUUUAAUCUUUUUACUGCAACAGAAACACCUCCAUUAAUCGUUUGUCUGUUUUACAAAGAACCUGAAACCUGAAUCAGGUUUUGUUUUGUGUACAAGAAGUGUCACUCAUCUGCUGCAGGUAAAGCCGCACUCAGACAUCAGUAUAAAAGGUUCUGCUGUCCCUGUGACAGAGUAUUGGCACCAGGGCAUGGUAUUCAAAAGGAAAGCUUUUGUGUAAGAAGCACAUGAAUGCAGUCCAGGCAAGAAACUUGCAACAUGUCAGAGGACGAUGUGACCUUUGACCUGCUGACAAUAAAUUUUUUCCCACAAAGUUCUGACUUUCCCAUAAAAAAUUUCCCGUAAGAAGUUCUGACUUUCCCAUCCCAUAACAUCUUUCCUCAGAAUGUGACCGAGCUUUUGAUUUUUCUAAGAUUAUUUAACUUCCAGUUUGAAAACAUGAAGUUCCCGGUGGCUGAUUUCUGGUCAAUAAAAUGAUCGAUUUAUCUGAUUUUAACAUUUUGUGAGGUGAUAAAAUAAAAAGGUGAUUUCUGUGGAAAUCAUACUUUUUUAGUAUGCUGAUUCUGCUUGAUGAAUCCCAACUCGUUUAAACUUUUGUCCUUAGGUCUGAUUCUAAUGUACGGUCAUCUUAUUGAUUACUGAACUAUUGAUGACAAUGUGAUGGCUCUAUAAAACUGAAUGUUUGGCGUUUUUCCUCUGCUUUUGUGUGAACAAUAAAGCUAUUCAAUACCGGG
ensembl:lncRNA